AAACUAUAAAUCCUUGAUAUUCUUAUUUUAGGCUAAAUUUGUUUACCUGUCUGUUCAGAUGCGACACAAGAGCUUUAUUUAAUGUGACUAUGGCCACAAGCUAAACACAUGCUAGAGAUUCUCCAGUGGGCCCUGAAAACCUGGGGCAUCCCAGACUGAGAUGGCUGUUCCUCUAGUCUUUCUGAUCCUCUUCCUGGUGGGCCAAACCUACCCAUCCUAACUGCAAGUGCUUUAUAGGCUUGUCAAGACAUGCACAUCUUAAGUUUUGCACCUUGACAGCUCUGCAGUAGAAAGCAGCAAAUGUGUUCUUCUGGAUAACCUACUGCAGCAUCUCUCCAGUCUUCAUGGUUGCCAUAAUCACUGAA